AGAGCCGCAGCCGCCGCGCAGGCAGGGCCGGGCCGGGCCGGGUGCGCGGGCACAAAGGGGCCGCUGCACAUGGCAGGCAGGCGAGCAGAUGCCAGCAGACAGCUUUUGUUGGAUGAAGUCUACUCUCCAGUGUAUUCUUCAGGAAGAGCAUUAGCACACUCUUCCAUGGAUAGCUUGGAUGGAUAUUAAAUCUGUGACUGGCACUUUCUUUCCUUGAGUCCAUGAAAAUGCUGCUUCACUCCUGCCUGACCUUUUCUGAGGCUGUGAGAAGCCUGAUGCCCUGCCUGAUUUUCUUUCCUUGUUUUGUGGAAGGUAGUACUUGCCAGGGAUGAAACUGGAUAUUUUACUGAGGAGAUUUCUAAGCAAAAUGUUGAAGAAGUGACUUGGUUCCUCCCAGUUGCCUGUAGUAAAAUGCAAGAAGAGAGAAAUGAAUUGAAAAAGGAAUUGUUAAGCAAAAAGGAACCAGAGUUUAAAGAUUUGGAAAAUUUUCUGUCUGUUCAUAUGAAAAAAAUGAGAAAGUGUGUACUGAAGAGAACACUACGGGUGUGGUGGACCAACCAUUUCAUAAAGAGAUUAGUGUGGCUGUGUACCAUGAACUUAAUCAGCCAUUUCAACAGAGGCCAGGAAUACAGAUGGGAUUACACCUGCAGAGACACUGCUAGCUGGGACUAAAAAAAACAACAUGGGACUAAAAAAAACAACAUGGGAUGAAAUGAAGAAGGUGGUGACUUUGUGCUAUCCUCUAGUGAAAGGGAUGAAGGGCCCCGAGGCAAUUUGGAGGUCCUCUGCCUCCAAUUUGAAGGACCAUUGCCUUGGUUUCAAUAGUCCAGACAGCUUCCAGCCGAAGAUGUGGAGGCACAAUCUUUGCCUGGCAGAGAAGCUAGGGGUGCAACUUCUGGCCAGGAGAGCUGCUGGGGUGGGACCUUUACCCUAGUGGCUCCGGAAGGCAGGGCAUCAAACCAAGGAUUACUCCCAAGCCUUAAGAUUUCAUGGAGUUUGCUUUGUAGUUUGGACUUGCUUGGGACUGGGUCACCCCUUCCUUCUCUGUUUCUUGCUUUUGGAAUGGGAAUGCCUGUCCUAUGCCUGUCCCACCAAUGUAUUUUGGAAGCAUACAACUUGUUUGGUUUCACAGAUUUGCAGCUGGAGAGGAAUUUUGCCCCAGGAUGAAUCAUACCUCGAGUCUCACUGUACCUAAUUUAGAUGAUAUUUAGAAAAGACUUUGGACUUUAGACAUUAGCGUUGUUGCUGGAAUGAGUUAAGACUUUAGGGGAUGGAAUGAAUGUACAGAUGCUCCUUGACUUAGAAUGGGGUUAUGUCCCAAUAAACCCAUUGUAAGUAAAAAAAAAUAAGUAAAAAUGCAUUCAGUACCCUGAUAAACCCAUAGUAAAGUCAAAAAAUCAGAAGAUGCUUUUCAACUUACAAUGCGGUUAUUUAUUUCCUGAUAGACCCAUCGCAAAAUUUAAAAAUUGUAAGUUGAACCAUCAUAUGUUGAGGACCAUGUGUAUUUGGCACAUGAGAAGGACGUGAAUUUUGGGGGGCCAUGGGUAGAAUGCUAUGGACUGUACUUAUGUGUCUCCCUAAAAUUCAUAUGUUAUGACCCUAGUUCCUAAUAUGAUGAGAAAAUAAAUGUUCGUUGUUUAGGCCA